rnacentral:tRNA from 1 species
CGGGACGUGGCUCAGCCUGGUAGAGCGCUGCGUUCGGGACGCAGAGGUC